UUUCCGUAGGUGAACCUGCGGAAGGAUCAUCAUUGGAUUCUCCAUUUUCAUUAUGAACCGUGUGAACUGUAUGUUUGAGGGUAUUUGGCAGGAGGGUUGGCAGGCAAGGGACUCGAGUCGAGUCGAGCCAAGCCGAGCCGUGUCUCACCCCCUCGGGGGUGAGCGCCUGCCACAUGCUCGCAUUUUAAACAAACUUUUUAACCGUAAAUAUUCAACUAAAAUAACAUUUAACUAAAAACAACUUUCAACAAUGGAUCUCUUGGCUCUC
rnacentral:misc_RNA from 1 species